UACAGAGACUGCAAGCGUUAUUCGGAUUCACUGGGCGUAAAGGGUGCGCAGGCGGUUGGGUGUGUCAGAUGUGAAAUCCCGAGGCUUAACCUCGGAACUGCGUCUGAAACUACUCGACUAGAGUACUGGAGAGGGAAACGGAAUUCACGGUGUAGCAGUGAAAUGCGCAGAUAUCAGGAGGAACACCGGUGGCGAAGGCGGGUCUCUGGGACGGUACUGACGCUGAGACGCGAAAGCGUGGGGGAGCGAACAGG
rnacentral:rRNA from 1 species